UUUUUCUCUCCUCUGUCCUCCUAAUCAAAUGAAUUUCCCCAAAACCCCAACCCAAAUAGCUCCAGCUCCAUCACUUCCUUUGACAACGGCAUAAUCCUAUGUCGCAUAAUUUUUGUUAUUGAGGACGAUGAAGACAAUUCGCAAAACGUCGUUCUGGGGCUCGAUCAGGCCGUGAUAAAUGGCAGACCCAAAAUAUUGCAGAACAACUCCUUCUAUUCUCAAAUUUCACUAUGUUGCAGAACAGAUCAUAUUGAUUAUCUUCUUCACCGCUCACACUAAUUAUCUGGUAAUAAGAUCAAAGUUUGAAAAAUUAUGAUAAUUUUCAUAUGUGAACAUGAAACCUAGAUCCACACUAAAUCUGGGUUUUUGAUUUGGGUGAAAAAUUUAUGGGCUUCGAUUGGUUUGUUGAGUUUUGUGUAGGUGUUUAAUAAUUUACAGACGAGGUUUUGAUGAGUGAAAAGAGAACCGAUUGUUAUGGCAUGGGCAUAAAUUUGCUUAAUCAGUUUUUCGUGGUUUUUUGCAUUUGUCAAGUAAAUAACGAAAGCUUGUUAGUUAGUUGUUCAUCUAAUUCUUCAAUUCAAUGUUAUAUUAUGCCUGUCGAUGAUUUAAGACAAAAAUCUGAGUUUCAUUUUUUUCAAAAAUAUUGGUCGACUGUUCCUCUGUUAUUGCUUAAUCUUUUUAUAUUUAGUUUUUGGGAUCUUUGUUUUCUGUCAUUGAUGGUAUAGAUUUGGUACAGAUUCUGGCUGCUGUAUUUUAUGAUUUCUUUCAAUCAAAGCUUGUUUGUAAUUCCUAGUGAUUUUAAGCUUUUUUAAGGUUUGGUAAUCAUUGUCAGAAUUUGUUUUCACCGGCUGCUCGUGAGUGGUUUUAUCCUCCGUUUUAUGUUGUUGGUGGUUUCAAAUUUGUGUAUCUGUAGGCUUAAUGUUCAUCUUUUUCAUAUAUCAGAUUUGUGAUUGGGCUCAUGAUAGAAUUUCAUCGUUGCCAACAAAGUCAGUCUUGGGCUCGCCAGAUUCUGGAGUUGUGUUGGGUCUUGUUGUAUGGAUCUGAGAAGAAUGAGUUUAAAGAAAGAAAAUGGAUCUCAACAAUAAAUAUCCACGUGUAAGCGGAGUUAGUCUAGGUGGCAUGUUCGUUAGGGUCAGAGGCAC
rnacentral:lncRNA from 1 species